GGAUGGAUGGCCGAGCGGUUUAUGGCACCGGUCUUGAAAACCGGCGUACGUUUAUAGCGUACCGUGGGUUCGAAUCCCACUCCAUCCGCCA
rnacentral:tRNA from 1 species